rnacentral:lncRNA from 1 species
GUCUAAUUCGGUAGGUCACAUUUAUGAAAGGGAAGGGAACAUAUCGAUAUCAUUUGUGAAACGGUUAUUCCAUAACGAGUUCCAUCAACCAACUCGUGAUGGCGUCCGUAAAUUAUUGUAAAUUACCUUUGAACAGGUUGGCAUUUGCAUCUUGUUAGCCCUUAUACACUUAGUUCUGAUGCCAGUAUUGAUGAUCAACACAACAGCUCCACCACUUAAAUGGUAAGUACUUAAUGCAUCACUGAUAAAAACAUUUAGCAAAUAAAAAGUUCUUAAAUGUCAAGGUUUUUUUAUGAUGACGUCUUGGUUAGACUAUAUGUUCGGUCCUUCUUUUUUUUUUUUUUAACUUUUAUUAAUUUUCAAUGUAAGUUCAGUAUGAUGUCCAUUAUCACUGAACUAGGAUAUACAUUUGUUUAGGGGCCAGUUGAAGGACGCCCCCGGGUGCGGGAUUUUCUCGCUGCAUUGAAGACCUAUUGGUUACCUUCUGUUGUUGUCUGUUCUAUGGUCGGGUUGUUGUCUCUUUGACACAUUCUUCAUUUCCAUUUUUAGUUGUAUGUCAUGCAUCAUAUAUAUUAGUUUGACUGUGUCGUGUUCAUAAGUUAAAAUGGAAAAUGGAAAUGGGAAUGUAUAAAAGAGACAACAACCAGAUGAAAGGGCUGAAAACAUUUGACGGCUACGAAUAUAUCACGAACGCUUAAGCAUGAAGUUGUGUCUACUAUGGAACUUGUGUAAGCUGAUAAGAUAAGAAGGUGUGCAUGUAUGCCGUAACAAAGAAACAGAGCAAAGAUCAUGUAGAUAGAAGUUUGUUUAUUGCAGGUUAUAUCAGAAAUACAAUCUUCCAUUUAUGAAAGCCUUCAUCCAGAUGG